GGUUCAAAGUGGGUGGAUUUGGGGGGAGAUAAGUCCAAGGACUAUUGGAGCAUGCACCAAACAAAUAAGGUUGAUAUACAAAUAUGACUAGUCCUUCACCUUACUCCAUAAAUAAGGGACAGUCCAGAUCCCAUUGAGCUCUUCUGCUGCAUGCUGGAAUCUUCCCCUGGAACAGGGACAUCUCUCAAGGUUACUCCUUGAGGCUGAGAGAUUCUAUGCCUGUGACAGAUAGUCAUUGACUAAUAGCUAGCUCAUUGAGACUUUGCAAGUAAUUUGCUAAGCAUGAUGAAACUUUGUAAUCUUAGCUAAGUGAUAUAAAGGAUUGGUUGUGCAUAUGAUUCUUUAGGUAUCAGCUCUUAAGUCUGGGAUUGUGUUGUAUCUAGACUCGCUCCUUGGAGUUUGGACGGCAAGAGGGGCUCCACUCUGAACCUUGUGACUCAAGAAGGAAGACAAAUUUAUCAAGUAUGUUUUGUGUCACUUUACCAUUAAAUCAGAUGGGAGUUACUCUUAACUGUGACACCAAGGAGAUGAGAGCAGUAGGGGACCCACAAGAAAGUCUGGAUAGUUCAGGGAGGUGUCACUGCAAGCUGGAGGGGUUAAAACAACAACAA
rnacentral:lncRNA from 1 species